rnacentral:rRNA from 1 species
AAAUUGAAGAGUUUGAUCAUGGCUCAGAUUGAACGCUGGCGGCAGGCCUAACACAUGCAAGUCGAACGGUAGCACAGAGAGCUUGCUCUCGGGUGACGAGUGGCGGACGGGUGAGUAAUGUCUGGGAAACUGCCCGAUGGAGGGGGAUAACUACUGGAAACGGUAGCUAAUACCGCAUAACGUCGCAAGACCAAAGUGGGGGACCUUCGGGCCUCACACCAUCGGAUGUGCCCAGAUGGGAUUAGCUAGUAGGUGGGGUAACGGCUCACCUAGGCGACGAUCCCUAGCUGGUCUGAGAGGAUGACCAGCCACACUGGAACUGAGACACGGUCCAGACUCCUACGGGAGGCAGCAGUGGGGAAUAUUGCACAAUGGGCGCAAGCCUGAUGCAGCCAUGCCGCGUGUAUGAAGAAGGCCUUCGGGUUGUAAAGUACUUUCAGCGAGGAGGAAGGCGUUGUGGUUAAUAACCACAGCGAUUGACGUUACUCGCAGAAGAAGCACCGGCUAACUCCGUGCCAGCAGCCGCGGUAAUACGGAGGGUGCAAGCGUUAAUCGGAAUUACUGGGCGUAAAGCGCACGCAGGCGGUUUGUUAAGUCAGAUGUGAAAUCCCCGGGCUCAACCUGGGAACUGCAUUUGAAACUGGCAAGCU